rnacentral:misc_RNA from 1 species
CAACCCUUAAGCCCCUGUUGCUUAGUGUUAGGAGACUACGCCCUCGGCGUAGCUCCCCAAAGUUAGUGGCAGAGUCAGUUCAAACUCUAGGUGUAGUAAAUUUCUUCUCGCCUCUGUAGUUGGGCUGCCCCUCGCCGUAAAACACCCCAAAUUUUAAA